ACGGGAGGCAGCAGUAGGGAAUAUUGGUCAAUGGAUGGAAGUCUGAACCAGCCAUGCCGCGUGCAGGAAGACGGCCUUCUGGGUUGUAAACUGCUUUUGCCAGGGGCUAAAAAGCUCAUGCGUGAGAAAUUGAAAGUACCUGGUGAAUAAGCCACGGCUAACUACGUGCCAGCAGCCGCGGUAAUACGUAGGUGGCAAGCGUUGUCCGGAUUUAUUGGGUUUAAAGGGUGCGUAGGCGGCUUUGUAAGUCAGUGGUGAAAUAUGGCAGCUUAACUGUCAGGGUGCCAUUGAUACUGCGGAGCUUGAGUACAGAUGAGGUAGGCGGAAUUGACGGUGUAGCGGUGAAAUGCUUAGAUAUCGUCAAGAACACCGAUAGCGAAGGCAGCUUACUAGGCUGUAACUGACGCUGAGGCACGAAAGUGUGGGGAUCAAACAGGAUUAGAUACCCUGGUA
rnacentral:rRNA from 1 species